UACGGAGGGGGCUAGCGUUGUUCGGAAUUACUGGGCGUAAAGCGCACGUAGGCGGCUUUGUAAGUCAGGGGUGAAAGCCUGGAGCUCAACUCCAGAACUGCCUUUGAGACUGCAUCGCUUGAAUCCGGGAGAGGUAAGUGGAAUUCCGAGUGUAGAGGUGAAAUUCGUAGAUAUUCGGAAGAACACCAGUGGCGAAGGCGGCUUACUGGACCGGGAUUGACGCUGAGGUGCGAAAGCGUGGGGAGCAAACAGGAUUAGAAACCCUUUAGUCC
rnacentral:rRNA from 1 species